rnacentral:rRNA from 1 species
AACGACUCUCGACAACGGAUAUCUCGGCUCUCGCAUCGAUGAAAAACGUAGCGAAAUGCGAUACUUGGUGUGAAUUGCAAAAUCCCGUGAACCAUCGAGUCUUUGAACGCAAGUUGCGCCCGAAGCCAUUAGGCUGAGGGCACGUCUGCCUGGGUGUCACGC